UACGUAGGCAGCGAGCGUUGUUCGGAAUUACUGGGCGUAAAGCGUGCGCAGGCGGUAAUGUAAGACAGGUGUGAAAUCCCCGGGCUUAACCUGGGAACUGCAUUUGUGACUGCAUUGCUGGAGUGCGGCAGAGGGGGAUGGAAUUCCGGCGUGUAGCAGUGAAAUGCGUAGAUAUGCGGAGGAACACCGAUGGCGAAGGCAAUCCCCUGGGCCUGCACUGACGCUCAUGCACGAAAGCGUGGGGAGCAAACAGG
rnacentral:rRNA from 1 species